UGAGGAAGGUAGUGUAGUUAAUAGCUGCAUUAUUUGACGUUAGCGACAGAAGAAGCACCGGCUAACUCCGUGCCAGCAGCCGCGGUAAUACGGAGGGUGCGAGCGUUAAUCGGAAUUACUGGGCGUAAAGCGCAUGCAGGUGGUUUGUUAAGUCAGAUGUGAAAGCCCGGGGCUCAACCUCGGAAUUGCAUUUGAAACUGGCAGACUAGAGUACUGUAGAGGGGGGUAGAAUUCAGGUGUAGCGGUGAAAUGCGUAGAGAUCUGAAGGAAUACCGGUGGCGAAGGCGGCCCCCUGGACAGAUACUGACACUCAGAUGCGAAAGCGUGGGGAGCAAACAGGAUUAGAUACCCUGGUAGUCCACGCCGUAAACGAUGUCUACUUGGAGGUUGUGGCCUUGAGCCGUGGCUUUCGGAGCUAACGCGUUAAGUAGACCGCCUGGGGAGUACGGUCGCAAGAUUAAAACUCAAAUGAAUUGACGGGGGCCCGCACAAGCGGUGGAGCAUGUGGUUUAAUUCGAUGCAACGCGAAGAACCUUACCUACUCUUGACAUCCAGAGAACUUUUCAGAGAUGAAUUGGUGCCUUCGGGAACUCUGAGACAGGUGCUGCAUGGCUGUCGUCAGCUCGUGUUGUGAAAUGUUGGGUUAAGUCCCGCAACGAGCGCAACCCUUAUCCUUGUUUGCCAGCGAGUAAUGUCGGGAACUCCAGGGAGACUGCCGGUGAUAAACCGGAGGAAGGUGGGGACGACGUCAAGUCAUCAUGGCCCUUACGAGUAGGGCUACACACGUGCUACAAUGGCGCAUACAGAGGGCAGCCAACUUGCGAGAGUGAGCGAAUCCCAAAAGUGCGUCGUAGUCCGGAUCGGAGUCUGCAAUCG
rnacentral:rRNA from 1 species